GUGCUCACUUCAGCAGCUCAUAUCCUAAAACUGGAAUAAUACAGAGAAGAAUAGCUUGGCCCUUGCAUGAAGAUGACAUGCAAAGUCAUGGAGUGUUCCAUAUUUUU
ensembl:snRNA U6 U6 spliceosomal RNA